rnacentral:rRNA from 1 species
CCUACGGGUGGCAGCAGUGGGGGAUAUUGCACAAUGGGGGGAACCCUGAUGCAGCGAAGCCGCGUGGGUGAAGAAGCGCCUCGGCGCGUAAAGCCCUGUCAGCAGGGAAGAAAAUGACGGUACCUGAAGCAGAAGCCCUGGCUAACUACGUGCCAGCAGCCGCGGUAAUACGUAGGGGGCACGCGUUAUCCGGAUUUACUGGGUGUAAAGGGGGCGCAGACGGCGGUGCAAGCCAGGAGUGAAAGCCCGGGGCGCAACCCCGGGACUGCCCUUGGAACUGCGUGGCUGGAGUGCAGGAGGGGCAGGCGGAAUUCCUGGUGUAGCGGUGAAAUGCGUAGAUAUCAGGAGGAACACCGGUGGCAAAGGCGGGCGGCUGGACUGCAACUGACGUUGAGGCCCGAAAGCGUGGGGAGCAAACAGGAUUAGAUACCCGUGUAGUC